AGCGAACGCUGGCGGCAGGCCUAACACAUGCAAGUCGAACGGACCCUCCGGGGUUAGUGGCGGACGGGUGAGUAACACGUGGGAACGUGCCUUUAGGUUCGGAAUAGCUCCUGGAAACGGGUGGUAAUGCCGAAUGUGCCCUUCGGGGGAAAGAUUUAUCGCCUUUGGAGCGGCCUGCGUCUGAUUAGCUAGUUGGUGAGGUAACGGCUCACCAAGGCGACGAUCAGUAGCUGGUCUGGGAGGAUGACCAGCCACACUGGGACUGAGACACGGCCCAGACUCCUACGGGAGGCAGCAGUGGGGAAUCUUGCGGAAUGGGCGAAAGCCUGACGCAGCCAUGCCGCGUGAAUGAUGAAGGUCUUAGGAUUGUAAAAUUCUUUCACCGGGGACGAUAAUGACGGUACCCGGAGAAGAAGCCCCGGCUAACUUCGUG
rnacentral:rRNA from 1 species